GACGAACGCUGGCGGCGUGCUUAACACAUGCAAGUCGAACGGAAAGGCCCUGCUUUUGUGGGGUGCUCGAGUGGCGAACGGGUGAGUAACACGUGAGUAACCUGCCCUUGACUUUGGGAUAACUUCAGGAAACUGGGGCUAAUACCGUAUAGGAGCUCCUGCUGCAUGGUGGGGGUUGGAAAGUUUCGGCGGUUGGGGAUGGACUCGCGGCUUAUCAGCUUGUUGGUGGGGUAGUGGCUUACCAAGGCUUUGACGGGUAGCCGGCCUGAGAGGGUGACCGGCCACAUUGGGACUGAGAUACGGCCCAGACUCCUACGGGAGGCAGCAGUGGGGAAUAUUGCACAAUGGGCGGAAGCCUGAUGCAGCAACGCCGCGUGCGGGAUGACGGCCUUCGGGUUGUAAACCGCUGUCGCCUGUGACGAAGCGUGAGUGACGGUAAUGGGUAAAGAAGCACCGGCUAACUACGUG
rnacentral:rRNA from 1 species